rnacentral:rRNA from 1 species
GGAAUAUUGCCCAAUGGACGCAAGUCUGAGGCAGCAACGCCGCGUGGGCGAUGAAGGCCUUCGGGUUGUAAAGCCCUUUUCUGGGGGAAGAGGAAGGACGGUACCUCAGGAAUAAGUCACGGCUAACUACGUGCCAGCAGCCGCGGUAAUACGUAGGUGGCAAGCGUUAUCCGGAUUCACUGGGCGUAAAGCGCGUGCAGGCGGUUCCGUAAGUCGGACGUGAAAGCUCCUGGCUUAACUGGGAGAGGUCGUUCGAUACUGCGGGGCUUGAGGUCGGGAGAGGGACGUGGAAUUCCCGGUGUAGUGGUGGAAUGCGUAGAUAUCGGGAGGAACACCAGUGGCGAAGGCGACGUCCUGGCCCGCACCUGACGCUGAGACGCGAAAGCGUGGGUAGCGAACGG